AUACGGAGGGUGCAAGCGUUACCCGGAAUCACUGGGCGUAAAGCGCGCGCAGGCGGCUAUUUAAGUUGGAUGUGAAAGCCUACGGCUCAACCGUAGAACUGCAUCCAAAACUAUUUAGCUAGAGUGUGGGAGAGGAAGAUGGAAUUAGUUGUGUAGGGGUAAAAUCCGUAGAGAUAACUAGGAAUACCAAAAGCGAAGGCAAUCUUCUGGAACACUACUGACGCUGAGGCGCGAAGGCGUGGGGAGCAAACAGGAUUAGAUACCCUAGUAGUCC
rnacentral:rRNA from 1 species